UUACAUAAAGAGCUUUGGCUCUUGCCUCUGGGGGGGGGGGAGGGGGGAAACGCUGCCGGAUGGUGGCUUUGCCCCAACUCCGGGAUGCUCUGGCGCUCUCCCAUGGGGGCCUGGCUUCCUGCCAAUCAAAUGCACCUGCUUGAGAGCAGAAAGCUUUAACAAUCCUCGUGCAAUAUGGCCCGGGCUCUCAGUGUCUGUUGGCGUCCCCCCUUCCCCAGGGGCAGGGGGCGAGUCACAGCACAGGGGUAUGUCCAACCCCUUCCUGCCGCAGGUUCAUGGGUGGGAGGCCUGGCAGCGUGUGUGCUGCUCGCUCGGCUGGUGUCUGGGGGAAUACCUGUACCUUGAACUCAGACCCCUCUCGGUGGGCCACUGAACCCAUGGCUGACCUCCACUGUUGCUUUAAACAGGGCAAUUGUUCCAAAAUAAAGGUGAUAUUUUCUGUCUCUUGCAUGUGGCUUUGCUGCUUUUUGGGGGCAGUAACACGGUGUCCUUCCGGUGUGUUCUGGCUCCAAUCUGGCGUUCUUCUCCACUGCCUGUCCUAAAGGGGCAUGGUGCAAGCCCCAGAAGAAGCAUUGGCCCAUCCCUGCCCAGCUCUGUCCAGGGAUGAUGGCAGGAGAGUCACCCAUGGGCACGAUGGCACCACACGAUGACUUCAGCCUUGCCUCGUGACACCGUCAUGGCCCAGAGGCGCAGGGAAUGAAGAUGGAAGCUCUAUGGGACAGGGACUGUUUUUGUCCAGUGUUCGUACAGCGCCUAGCACAACGGGGUGCUGGUCUAGGCCUGGGGUUCCCCGGUAUUCCGAGAAUACAAGUCAGUCAAUCAAUCAGAAUAAUUCCUACUUUUGAACCCCUCUCCCUGGAGCGGACAAGCAGCUGUGAGUGGGGAGCAGUGGAGGAAAAGGGGAGUGAAGGACAUUUGGCCUCUGGACUUUUCCACUCCCAGCUGGGAAACUGAGGCAAAGGACGCUGCCCAGCUUCCGGUGGAGGUCCCCCUGCCCUCUCAGAAAGGCACAUUCUUGGAGAUGCCCUUGCUAGGCUGGGCUCCACCCCGGGCUUUCAGGGCAGUAUCGGAAACACAGGAACAGUUGCAUGUCCACCCCUUCGCUCAUUAGAUUGACGGGGUCACAGCAGGGCCCCGAGAUCUGAGCCACCCUGGGCUUUGGAAAAGAACAGAUGUGGAUCGAGCAGGCGUGAGCCUGGCUUUUCUGAUGGACUUGAACCAGAAACCCAGCUCCAAACACGCCUGAAUACUGGGACUUGAAUCUCCAGGCUCUUGGCCCGAACUAGAGUCUCCCUCCAGAUCCAGAGGGAAGAGGGAAUAACGGGCCGUUCCCUGCCAGUAUAAUAGGCAAUCUGAUGAUUAUUGUUACCAUCUGCUGGUGUGAGCAUAAUUGGUCAGAGCCUUUCCUGAGCACUUCGGUACCAGAAAGAUGGGAGGAAUUCAAAGAGAAAUAACAAUGAUUAAGGAGCCGGAGGGAUUGAUUUAUGAGCAAAGACCUGAAUGCGCCUAGCUGGGCUAAGCGAGCAGGAAGGGGGAUGGGGACAUGAUAACCAGCUACAGUAGAAUGUUUGAAUGGUUGUAAGAGCCAAGGAAGGUGGUAUGAAGGGGCCCUGGGAUGAAAUUAAGGAAGGUGGCAGGACAUGUUGAGUUGCAGUAUGUGAGUUGCAGUAGAUGGCUCCCUGGGUUGGGUGGCGUGCCAGACGCUGGUAAACGAAAGACACAAAGGUAGAACUUGAGCCGUGUGGAAGCUUGUUUGCUGUAUUGGCAACUCUACGAGUUGGGUCAAAAAAUCACGAGAAUGUCUUAAAAAUCAGGAGAUUAAAAAUAAAUCAGUAUUGGCUUCUUUAUGUGCCCUUCGGUUUCUGA